CCUGUGUGCAAAUCAUCAUCAUGCUUUGGUAUUUAUUUAGCUGCUUCUUCAUCUUUUCAAUUUCUGACGUUCUAGUUUAAUAAGUUUAUUUUCAGUGGCGCCACCAGGGGGUGGCCAGGGGUGGCCACGGCCCCACCUACAAAUUUGCUGGCCACCCCACUGGCCAGUCACAUGGAUUCUAUCGUCAGUUCUGUGUUUCAUCCCAAAUCAUUCUGGCCAAAUGCACAGCCAGCGUGACCGGUCCCCGAUUUCAAAAGAAGUGACGAGAGAAGACUAGUGAGUGAUUUGCAGACAAUGAAGAGAAAGUCCACAGGAAUCUCUUCUUAUUUUAAGAAGAAAGUGAGCACAGUGGGAGCAGCAGAGGCUUAGUGAGGAGGAGAAAGAGGAGGAUGGAGGAGAGGAACAGACAGAGCAGCAUGAGGUUACACAGUGACGAGGAAGAGCCUCAGCAAACAGCAGACCAGCACCAAAAGCAGGUGUUCCACCUGUUCCUGGACCAACAGAUAUCUCCCAGUCCAGAGCAGAGCAGCCCAAGCAGCCACAACUGAAACCCUUCCCUAGAACCUAUAGGGGACAGGAGACUGUUGAUCCCUGGUGGGAAACUCUUGUUGAGUGUUUCUGUACUCGCUUGCAAUA